UGAAAGGCCUAGACAUGACAGAUUGUGUGCUCUGAAGAUACUACAAGCAACAUGGACCUCUCUGCUAAGGAUCCAAAUUAUGGGCACCACUAGUCAGGGCGCAGCAGAAGAUAUUCACAAGGGUGCCAGGGCACAUUCUUCUGGUUUAAGUGGAGAAACAUUGGCAGUGGAUGUUGAUGGAGCAAGAUCCUGAAGACUGUGGAGACUUCUGGAACGGAGGUUGUGAGCAUCGCUGUCAUGGCUGUGCAGCUGGCUGCUCCGAGGGGUCAGUAUAAAUAAAAUAAAAGAGGCAGGGAGAACAUUGGCUACAUGUGUUCUUUAACUAGCAACGCAUCAUUGUGCAUCAACAUCCACUUUUAAAUGGGAUAUCUACCUUGUACAAUGAAGUAAAUGUAUCUUAUGUUGGUAUUAUGAUUCUUAAUUCUUGGGAUCCAGAGGCCUGUGGCUGCUAAACCCUUGUUUGUUUAUCACCUCACUGUUACUGUCUGGAUUUUAGCUGUGAUCAGAGUGAAGUUACCCUCAGUGUUAUAUUCCCAGAAUCCCAGGAGCUCGCUCUCUCCAAACAGAUCUUUAUUUUCUGAAGUGUAUUUAUUAUCCAGUUUAACUUCUCUGAGCAGAUCAUACUGAAAAUGGGAACUGCACGAGGCUGUUUCUACUGCUUGCUGCUCUGAGACUCAGCAUGCACUGAAAUGGUUAAAUUCAGCACUUCAUUUUCGCAAAUGCUCUCUUGAAUUAUUUUGGCUUUUGUGAAAUUUUCUUCCCCCUAGCUCGAUUUGCUGGAAUAUCUAAAAACACUUACACAAGCAUAAAAGAAAUCCAACACAUCGAUGGAUAUUAACCUGUUGGAUGUUACCUAAUGAGCCCAUAUGUUGUACUGUCAUCCACUCACUGUGACAGAAGGGUGACAUGGAAAUGCUGAUGUCUAUCUCUGUUGUUUAAUGCAGACACAGUGCAACUCAUUAUUUUAUGCAGCAAACUGAAGUCUCUAAUGCCUACAAAACUGAAAGGAUGCUAUAGAAACUGCUUUUCAGAAACAGAAGAAAAUCUACCUUUCCUGUGUGCAUAUGAAAAUAUGGAUGACUCCACGAGGAGCUCAAAUUGUCACUCAGCCUCAUACAGAAUUCUCCGUGGCUGCUAACAGAAAUCCCACCACGUCUGUGUGAGCUGAAAGAACCACACAUUUCUCCAACUAUGACCCCCAAAUAGGUAUUAAUGCAGCUGUUACAUUCCAAAUACUUCUCUACCAGUUUUCAGAUUGUUCUCCCCAUUCAUUUACAGCAGUCUGAAUGGAAAUAGAGAGGAAAACAAGUGCUAACCUCAUAGAGCAGUUGUGGAUGGGUGGGUAGCAGCCCAAGGGCAGCAUUUGCUUUAGGUCCUCCUCGUGGAA